rnacentral:piRNA from 1 species
UUUAUGCGAUUUCUGAUGAGUAUUC